rnacentral:rRNA from 1 species
UACCAGCACCCCGAGUGGUCGGGACGUUUAUUGGGCCUACAGCAUCCGUAGCCGGUUCUACAAGUCUUCCGUUAAAUCCACCUGCUUAACAGAUGGGCUGCGGAAGAUACUAUAGAGCUAGGAGGCGGGAGAGGCAAGCGGUACUCGAUGGGUAGGGGUAAAAUCCGUUGAUCCAUUGAAGACCACCAGUGGCGAAGGCGGCUUGCCAGAACGCGCUCGACGGUGAGGGAUGAAAGCUGGGGGAGCAAACCGG